rnacentral:rRNA from 1 species
UACGGAGGGGGCUAGCGUUGUUCGGAAUUACUGGGCGUAAAGCGCGCGUAGGCGGACCUGCAAGUCGGGGGUGAAAGCCCGAGGCUCAACCUCGGAACUGCCUUCGAUACUGCGGGUCUCGAGUCCGGGAGAGGUGAGUGGAAUUCCUAGUGUAGAGGUGAAAUUCGUAGAUAUUAGGAAGAACACCAGUGGCGAAGGCGGCUCACUGGCCCGGUACUGACGCUGAGGCGCGAAAGCGUGGGGGAGCAA